rnacentral:rRNA from 1 species
CAGCAGCCGCGGGAAUACGUAGGUGGCAAGCGUUGUCCGGAAUUAUUGGGCGUAAAGGGCUCGCAGGCGGUUUCUUAAGUCUGAUGUGAAAGCCCCCGGCUCAACCGGGGAGGGUCAUUGGAAACUGGGAAACUUGAGUGCAGAAGAGGAGAGUGGAAUUCCACGUGUAGCGGUGAAAUGCGUAGAGAUGUGGAGGAACACCAGUGGCGAAGGCGACUUUCUGGUCUGUAACUGACGCUGAGGAGCGAAAGCGUGGGGAGCGAACAGGAUUAGAUACCCCUGUAGUCCCUGUCUCUUAUAC